rnacentral:tRNA from 1 species
GGGGAUGUGGCUCAGCAGUAGAGCACUCGCCUCACAUGUGAGAGUCACUGGGUUCGAUCCUCAGCAUCACAU